rnacentral:rRNA from 1 species
GUGCCAGCCGCCGCGGUAAUACGUAUGUCCCGAGCGUUAUCCGGAUUUAUUGGGCGUAAAGCGAGCGCAGACGGUUUAUUAAGUCUGAUGUGAAAGCCCGGAGCUCAACUCCGGAAUGGCAUUGGAAACUGGUUAACUUGAGUGCAGUAGAGGUGAGUGGAACUCCAUGUGUAGCGGUGGAAUGCGUAGAUAUAUGGAAGAACACCAGUGGCGAAGGCGGCUUACUGGACUGCAACUGACGUUGAGGCUCGAAAGUGUGGUAGCAAACAGGAUUAGAUACCCUGGUAGUCCACACCGUAAACGAUGAACACUAGGUG